rnacentral:rRNA from 1 species
CGAAGGAUGCAAGCGUUAUCCGGAUUCAUUGGGUUUAAAGGGUGCGUAGGCGGACUUGUAAGUCAGUGGUGAAAUCUCUUCGCUUAACGAAGAAACUGCCAUUGAUACUGCAAGUCUAGAGUAUAGAUGACGUUGGCGGAAUAUGACAUGUAGUGGUGAAAUACUUAGAUAUGUCAUAGAACACCGAUUGCGAAGGCAGCUAACGAAACUAUAACUGACGCUGAGGCACGAAAGUGCGGGGAUCAAACAGGAUUAGAUACCCUGGUAGUCCGCACCGUAAACGAUGAUUACUCGUUGUUGGCGAUAUGACAGUCAGCGACCAAGCGAAAGCGAUAAGUAAUCCAACCUGGGGGAGUACGCCGGCAACGGGUGA